UAGAUCCCCUCUUCCUUUUUGGCAUCUAAACAAAUAUAGCAAUCUGUGUUUUUCUUUCGAUCUUUGCAGACGGCAAGGCGUCGAACAUGUCUGCACAAAAGUGCCAGAAAUGUAUUCAUUAUGAGUCUCUCUAUAGUAAACCCAACUUAAGUAUUUUUUAUUAUUUUCUCACAGAACUGCGUUUAAUGGAGAGCUGUUAACAUCCUUAACUGGGUCUCAAAAUAAACUCCCCGCAAAUUGGCACUUGUUUUAAGCCCCCAGCGAAAUUCAAUAAAUAUUAAUAAAAAUAUUUACAGAGUAGAGAGCAAGAUCAUCAAAAGCUGUGGAGCCGCCCCAGAAGAAUUCUGGUUUCAAGAUGCAAGCUCCAGCGGAGUGAGAAUUAACGGUAAUCAUAUUAACUAAGCGAGCGACAAGUUAAUUGAAUUGCCAAAAAAAAAAAACAACAAAGGGAACCAGUUGCGGAUGCACUGAGAUGAUUAUAAAAUAUGCCAACUGCUCGACGACAAUGGGAAACGCCAAAAAGGAAUUUCGCUUAAUGACAACGACCACCACAAGUACAAGAGGAACUUCAGCAAUAACAAUAACUACACUGAGAAAAAUAAUAAAUAUUUAAAGAAAUUUAUUUUCAGGCAAGAUUUUUGUAUGUCACGACUUGAGCAAACUGAGUACUAUCAUCUAUCUGCCUAUGAAGCCAAAUCAAACAAGCAUCAGUAUAGCUUCCUUACUCCUUAUAAGACUGCCAAUAUAUUUUUCUCAGUGCAAUGACAAUGCUGGCAAUUAUCGGGCAUGAAUGGCAGGAAGUUAGGGGAGCAUCAGUAGAAGUUGCAACGGCGACCUUGCAAUGUCGCAAUCACGAUGACGAGCCAUGCCGCUGGAUGUUGAUGUCUGUUAACUUUGCCGCCAUUUGUCUGCAGUUGGUAAGAUGGUAGCUUAGUCACUUGGCAGUGCGGCAACUGCCAACUGGCAACAACUAACUGUUAACUGGGACCUCGGCCAGGUACGCCCCCAACAUGCAUUCCGACAUGCCAUGCGAAAGUCAAACCUAACUGCAUGUUGCAUGCCACUCCAAGACAAAAUCCACCGCCGCACAGCCGCCCAUAAGAUAAUGGCUAAUCAUAAUGCAAUUUUAGUCGGGCUAACUUAGCCUUAGUGUCUGCUGUCUGAGGAUUUGGGUAAUGUGUCGAGCACUAAUUACCGGUACUUUUAUAAGACCCUGCUAUUUGGGAUGACCCGCAGAACAAUGGAUUUUAUUAGAACGGUCUUAAUUGGAAACUGUGUACGGGAAAAAUGUUAGCAAACGAGGCUGGAAUGGCUAAGUAAGGAGAAAAUUUUGUAGCAUUACCCAUGCGCAUUAAAGUCAUGAAAAAUGCAUAGAUUGACAUCGUGGGAACUUUUGCAAAACAGUGCAAUCUGUAACCAGAUGGUGGCCCAGAUGGUCGGAAACUUAAACCAAAAUAUGUGUAUUUUUCGCAUAUGCUGCCAAUUGGAUUAUUUGAAUAAAUCAAUUUGCGCAGGCGCAUCGUUUCGGAUCUGAUGGGUUAGCAAUCCGAAAAUAGGAACAGUUGGGUGGGAUGCGAUCUGCGAUGCAACCCUCGUAUCUUCACAGGAAAAACGCCCCCUGAGCAACUGGUAGAGAUCCUUUUCCUCCCUUUUCGAAAGAUAAUAACAGUUGGUCAGCCACAGUAUAGUAUUCUGUACAGAAGGGGAUCUGCUGCUCGAUUGUAUCUAGCCUUCUAAUGAAUUACGGCACACUUUUCAAUUAGUUGCAUGUUUAUACAAUAAUUUUGAUGAUUCUCGGGAACUUAUGGCGGUGUACACCCUAUGAUAGAACAACAGAUAAAAGGCGUCAGCUGCUGAGUUCUAAAGAGUUUCUCGACGAGUCUGCGCAGGGUGUUAGCAAUGAUGAGCUACCCCGUGGUGGUGUUUAAUUGUUUGGAAUAUUGGAGAAACAGAUCUUCAUUAUCAUAACAACAAUUGUUGCAUUAGAAAUUUACACUUUCAAACUCAUGUGGAGUCUUAUCGAGUACUCCUUGACUAGAUUUAUUACUAAGCUCAAAUAAAAUAUGAUUUGAAAUCGA